CCUACGGGAGGCAGCAGUCGAGAAUCAUUCACAAUGGGGGAAACCCUGAUGGUGCGACGCCGCGUGGGGGAAUGAAGGUCUUCGGAUUGUAAACCCCUGUCAUGUGGGAGCAAAUUAAAAAGAUAGUACCACAAGAGGAAGAGACGGCUAACUCUGUGCCAGCAGCCGCGGUAAUACAGAGGUCUCAAGCGUUGUUCGGAAUCACUGGGCGUAAAGCGUGCGUAGGCUGUUUCGUAAGUCGUGUGUGAAAGGCGAGGGCUCAACCCGCGGACGGCACAUGAUACUGCGAGACUAGAGUAAUGGAGGGGGAACCGGAAUUCUCGGUGUAGCAGUGAAAUGCGUAGAGAUCGAGAGGAACACUCGUGGCGAAGGCGGGUUCCUGGACAUUAACUGACGCUGAGGCGCGAAGGCCAGGGGAGCGAAAGGGAUUAGAUACCCCAGUAGUC
rnacentral:rRNA from 1 species